AGUGACCACAGAGCAUUAGCACCCAAGCAGGACCUGCUGAACCUGGGGCCCUAUAGGAGAGCACUGAUGGCCCACCCCUGAUUGUGGCCCUGGUCUUCAUGUCUGCAUCAGCCUCAGCCAUCUCAAGACCACAACAGGAACAUAGCCAAGUCAGAGAAGGAAGACCAAAAGCACCAGGGCCCUUCAUAUUAUUAAGCUGCUAAAUUAACUAAUCUUGGAAACUUCUAGACUCUACAAUUCUUGUUGUAUGAGUACUUUUCUCCCAGAUGAAAGAUGCUGGAUGCUGGCAUUGCUGACACUUCUGAUGUGAGGCCAAGGAGAUCAAUGCAGGAGGAGACCUCUUAAACAGGGGCUUUAUCAAGAAUGGCCUACCACAUUCAUCCAUUGGCCCGCUACCAUCUUUGAUGUCCAAGCCAGCUAGAUCAAGACAUGAUUGUGUUUUUAACUAGCAUUCAACCUUUAGGUUUUACAAUAGAAUUAUUUCCCCAAAUCUGCCAUGUGCUGUUUUCUAGAGUGGAUUGACAAUUAUUCUCUGGACUUUUUGGUAACCAAGAACUUCUAGCAACUAACCCUGGCAUGACCACCAGAAUCUGCAGGGCUGAGAGAAGAAAGAAAGGCAAAAGUGGAUGAAUGCAGCUGAAGAUGCUGUGGAACUCCUAUCACAUUCCAAGUGCUGUGUUGAUAUCUGGAGAUAUAGACAAGAUCGAAGCAGAUGCAGUCUUUCACAUGAAUAUUUGAAUCAGGCAGUAUGUUCCCCAAAUUAGCAAAGUAUCUCCCAGAUUUUUUCUUUGAUGAUAUAUUUGAAAUCCUAAUGCUGAAAGUUAAAUUAUCAGGGUUUUAAAACUAGAAGCAGUCAUUAUCAGAAUUUUAUAUACUAUUUAUUUUUAAGAACGUAAUUUGACUGUUUAAGUCUUAUUAUAAUUUUAAGUGAAGUACUUUGGGCAGUCAUAAAUAAAGUAAUGGGCAGGUAUUUAGUAUUCAUAUUGUGUGGAUUCAUAUCCAUACUCUGCCACUCAGUAUCUCUGGGAUUUUGAUGAAUGAUCAAACUCUCUGAGCCUCAGUUUUCUAAUCUGUAAAGCAGAAAUGAUAAUGGUAUGUAGUGAUAAUUAAACAAUUUACUAGUUGUAAGUGCUUAGAACAGUUCCUGGAAUAGAGAAAAUUUGCAGAGAGAUUUUUAUUGUUUACAAUUUAGUUAAUGGAAUGGCUUCAAUAAUACAGUAAAAUUAAGAUAUUCAAACAAGCAGGAUGCAGGUGAUGGGUAUUGGCCUCAGCUUUAGAGACCAGAGGUUAAAUCUCAGUGCUGCCUGCCACAAAACGAUCCAUGUAAGUCAAUAAACAAUGCUUUUUAAAAUAUUAUUAUAAAGAUAUAGUGUGUGGAUCCCUCUCAAUUGUCCAUUCUUCCCUGUCACAAAAAUUUGCCUGCUUUUCGUUACCAUGUGAGAGGCAAAUGAAUUGAACUAAAUGGUUUCUAAUGCCCUGUCCACCUCUAAAAUUCUAUAGAACUGUGAUUUGAUUCCAAUGGGCCAUAUCAGGACUCGGCAUUAUUUUCAUCAGUGAACCAUUUCAUUAGAAAUUUAUUUUUCCAAAUGAUAUUAGUAAAUAUUGAAGGAGGCUUCUCCCACAGAGCUUCUUGUACAAAUUAAAACAGGGCAGUAGAAGGUUUUCAGGUUGGUGAAGUCAACUCUGGCUUUUAGUCAACCAUUCCAAAAAAACAUUUUCUUUAGAAUCCAAGGGCUUGCAAUUGUUCUGAAUAAAGCAUAAAGAAGCUGUUCUGAUUUAUUAAAUAAAAAGAGUACCAAAUAU
ensembl:lncRNA LINC02612 long intergenic non-protein coding RNA 2612